GGCGGACGGCUCAGGACAACGGUUGCACCCCCCGCGGCGGUCCCUGCUAGCCGGACACCGCUGGCAACCCGGCGCCAAGACGUGCGCGCAAGUGCGGACGCCCGCGGGCGAGCAGCGUGACGCAGANACGGCCCGCCCGGGCUUCCGGGGCAUCAUCCGGUCGAUCCUGCC
rnacentral:rRNA from 1 species